rnacentral:rRNA from 1 species
GGGUACCGUCAGGCCUAACGCGUAUUAUACGUUAGGAGGUUCUUCCCCUCUGCAGAGCUUUACGACCCAAGAGCCUUCAUCACUCACGCGGUAUUGCUGCGUCAGGCUUUCGCCCAUUGCGCAAAAUUCCCCA